rnacentral:rRNA from 1 species
UACGUAGGGUCCGAGCGUUGUCCGGAAUUAUUGGGCGUAAAGGGCUCGUAGGCGGUCCGUCACGUCGGGAGUGAAAACUCAGGGCUCAACCCUGAGCGUGCUUCCGAUACGGGCGGACUAGAGGUAUGCAGGGGAGAACGGAAUUCCUGGUGUAGCGGUGGAAUGCGCAGAUAUCAGGAGGAACACCGGUGGCGAAGGCGGUUCUCUGGGCAUUACCUGACGCUGAGGAGCGAAAGCAUGGGGAGCAAACGGG